rnacentral:rRNA from 1 species
UGGGGAAUUUUGCGCAAUGGGCGAAAGCCUGACGCAGCGACGCCGCGUGUACGAUGAAGGCCUUUGGGUCGUAAAGUACUGUCAACGGGGACGAACGCCUCAGAUUGAAUAGGUCUGAGGUCUGACGGUACCCGUGGAGGAAGCACCGGCUAACUCUGUGCCAGCAGCCGCGGUAAUACGGAGGGGGCAAGCGUUGUUCGGAUUUACUGGGCGUAAAGGGCGCGUAGGCGGGGUAUCCAGUUAGGGGUGAAAGCCCGGGGCUCAACCUCGGAACUGCCUUUAAAACUGAUACUCUAGAGUCCGGAAGAGGGUCGCGGAAUUCCCAGUGUAGAGGUGAAAUUCGUAGAUAUUGGGAAGAACACCGGUGGCGAAGGCGGCGACCUGGUCCGGUACUGACGCUGAGGCGCGAAAGCGUGGGGAGCAAACAGGAUUAGAUACCCCCGUAGUCC